UACGAAGGGGGCUAGCGUUGCUCGGAAUCACUGGGCGUAAAGGGUGUGUAGGCGGGUCUUUAAGUCAGGGGUGAAAUCCUGGAGCUCAACUCCAGAACUGCCUUUGAUACUGGGAAGCUUGAGUUCGGGAGAGGUGAGUGGAACUGCGAGUGUAGAGGUGAAAUUCGUAGAUAUUCGCAAGAACACCAGUGGCGAAGGCGGCUCACUGGCCCGAUACUGACGCUGAGGUGCGAAAGCGUGGGGAGCAAACAGG
rnacentral:rRNA from 1 species